CACGUAGGGCGCGAGCGUUGUCCGGAAUUAUUGGGCGUAAAGAGCUCGUAGGCGGCCUGUUGCGUCCGCUGUGAAAGCCCGGGGCUUAACCCCCGGGUCGGCAGUGGAUACGGGGCAGGCUAGAGGUAGGUAGGGGGAGAAUGGAAUUCCCGGUGUAGCGGUGAAAUGCGCAGAUAUCAGGAGGAACACCAUGGCGAAGGCGGCUCAUGGGGACCGGUAUUG
rnacentral:rRNA from 1 species